AAGCCUGACGGAGCAAUACCGCGUGAGGGAGGAAGGCUCUUGGGUCGUAAACCUCUUUUCUCAAGGAAGAAGAAAGUGACGGUACUUGAGGAAUAAGCAUCGGCUAACUCCGUGCCAGCAGCCGCGGUAAUACGGAGGAUGCAAGCGUUAUCCGGAAUGAUUGGGCGUAAAGGGUCUGCAGGUGGAACUGAAAGUCUGCUGUUAAAGAGUUUGGCUUAACCAAAUAAAAGCGGUGGAAACUACAGAACUAGAGUGCGGUAGGGGCAAAAGGAAUUCCUGGUGUAGCGGUGAAAUGCGUAGAUAUCAGGAAGAACACCGGUGGCGAAAGCGUUUUGCUAGACCGUAACUGACACUGAGGGACGAAAGCUAGGGGAGCGAAUGGGAUUAGAUACCCCAGUAGUCCUAGCCGUAAACGAUGGAUACUAGGCGUGGCUUGUAUCGACCCGAGCCGUGCCGGAGCUAACGCGUUAAGUAUCCCGCCUGGGGAGUACGCACGCAAGUGUGAAACUCAAAGGAAUUGACGGGGGCCCGCACAAGCGGUGGAGUAUGUGGUUUAAUUCGAUGCAACGCGAAGAACCUUACCAAGACUUGACAUCCUGCGAAUCCCGGUGAAAGCUGGGAGUGCCUUAGGGAGCGCAGAGACAGGUGGUGCAUGGCUGUCGUCAGCUCGUGUCGUGAGAUGUUGGGUUAAGUCCCGCAACGAGCGCAACCCUCGUUUUUAGUUGCCAGCAUUAAGUUGGGCACUCUAGAGAGACUGCCGGUGACAAACCGGAGGAAGGUGGGGAUGACGUCAAGUCAGCAUGCCCCUUACGUCUUGGGCUACACACGUACUACAAUGCUACGGACAGAGGGCAGCGAGCCAGGGAUGGCAAGCGAAUCCAGAAACCGUAGCUCAGUUCAGAUCGAAGGCUGCAACUCGCCUUCGUGAAGGAGGAAUCGC
rnacentral:rRNA from 1 species